rnacentral:rRNA from 1 species
CCUACGGGAGGCAGCAGUGAGGAAUAUUGGUCAAUGGGCGGAAGCCUGAACCAGCCAUGCCGCGUGCAGGAAUAAGGCCCUACGGGUCGUAAACUGCUUUUGUACGGGAGCAAUAAGGGUCACGCGUGGCCUGAUGAGAGUACCGUACGAAUAAGCAUCGGCUAACUCCGUGCCAGCAGCCGCGGUAAUA